rnacentral:rRNA from 1 species
AGAGUUUGAUCCUGGCUCAGGAUGAACGCUAGCUACAGGCUUAACACAUGCAAGUCGAGGGGCAGCAUGGAAGAAGCUUGCUUCUUCUGAUGGCGACCGGCGCACGGGUGCGUAACGCGUAUCAAACCUGCCUCAUACUCGGGGAUAGCCUUGCGAAAGUAAGAUUAAUACCCGAUGUUGUUAUGUUACCGCAUGGUGAUAUAACCAAAGAUUUAUCGGUAUGAGAUGGUGAUGCGUCCGAUUAGGUAGUAGGCGGGGUAACGGCCCACCUAGCCUUCGAUCGGUAGGGGUUCUGAGAGGAAGGUCCCCCACACUGGAACUGAGACACGGUCCAGACUCCUACGGGAGGCAGCAGUGAGGAAUAUUGGUCAAUGGACGGAAGUCUGAACCAGCCAAGUAGCGUGCAGGAUGACGGCCCUCUGGGUUGUAAACUGCUUUUAGUUGGGAAUAAAAAAGAGGACGUGUCCUCUAUUGUAUGUACCUUCAGAAAAAGGACCGGCUAAUUCCGUGCCAGCCGCCGCGGUAAUUC